CUUAAAUGAAUUGACGGGACCCGCACAAGCGGUGGAUGAUGUGGAUUAAUUCGAUGCAACGCGAAGAACCUUACCUACCCUUGACAUGUCCGGAACUUGCCAGAGAUGGCUUGGUGCCCGAAAGGGAAUCGGAACACAGGUGCUGCAUGGCUGUCGUCAGCUCGUGUCGUGAGAUGUUGGGUUAAGUCCCCGCAACGAGCGCAACCCUUGCCAUUAGUUGCUACGAAAGGGCACUCUAAUGGGACUGCCGGUGACAAACCGGAGGAAGGUGGGGAUGACGUCAAGUCCUCAUGGCCCUUAUAGGUGGGGCUACACACGUCAUACAAUGGCCGGUACAGAGGGUAGCCAACCCGCGAGGGGGAGCCAAUCCCACAAAGCCGGUCGUAGUCCGGAUCGCAGUCUGCAACUCGACUGCGUGAAGUCGGAAUCGCUAGUAAUCGCGGAUCAGCAUGUCGCGGUGAAUACGUUCCCGGGUCUU
rnacentral:rRNA from 1 species